rnacentral:rRNA from 1 species
GACGAACGCUGGCGGCGUGCUUAACACAUGCAAGUCGAGCGGAGCGGCGAACGGGUGAGUAACGCGGGAGUAACUGCCCCCCUCUCUGGGAUAACAGUUGGAAACGGCUGCUAAUACCGGAUAGUGGGGGAUGACUCGCGUCCUAUCAGCUUAUUGGGGGGGUAGUGGCCUACCAAGGCGACGACGGGUAGCCGGCCUGAGAGGGCGACCGGCCACAUUGGGCUGAGAUACGGCCCAGUCUCCUACGGGGGGCAGCGGUGUGGAAUAUUGCACAAUGGGGGAAACCCAGUUGCAGCACCGCCGCGUGCGGGAUGACGGCCUUCGGGUUGUAAACCGCUUUCAGCCAUGACGCGGUAGUGACAGAAGAAGCACCGGCUAACUACGUGCCAGCAGGCGCGGUAAUAC